rnacentral:rRNA from 1 species
AGUGAACGCUGGCGGUAGGCCUAACACAUGCAAGUCGAACGGAAGCACAGUAAGAGCUUGCUCUUACGGGUGGCGAGUGGCGGACGGGUGAGGCAUACAUCGGAAUCUACUUUUUCGUGGGGGAUAACGUAGGGAAACUUACGCUAAUACCGCAUACGUCCUACGGGUGAAAGCAGUGGAUCUUCGGACCUUGCGCGAUUGAUUGAGCCGAUGUCGGAUUAGCUAGUUGGCGGGGUAAAGGCCCACCAAGGCGACGAUCCGUAGCUGGUCUGAGAGGAUGAUCAGCCACACUGGAACUGAGACACGGUCCAGACUCCUACGGGAGGCAGCAGUGGGGAAUAUUGGACAAUGGGCGCAAGCCUGAUCCAGCCAUACCGCGUGGGUGAAGAAGGCCUUCGGGUUGUAAAGCCCUUUUGUUGGGAAAGAAAAGCAGCAGGUUAAUACCCCGCUGUUCUGACGGUACCCAAAGAAUAAGCACCGGCUAACUUCGUG